rnacentral:lncRNA from 1 species
GUUAUGACCCUUUGAAUUCUUAACCAUUUAUUCCACUAACAACCUACUGUUACCAACUAAACUGCCUAAUCAUCAGUCUAAUUCUCAAGGUUGUCAAUAACCAACUAGUAACUUACCACAAAGUUUAUUUAUCUAUUCUACAUAGCCCCACUCCUAAUUGUGCAGCAUCCUCGCAAAUAUUAUUUAGCCUCAACUUAUAAAGUCAUAAGAGCGUUGGCUUCUUCAGUCAAUGGCGUUGGCUUACCACCCUUUGAAUUGGUGACCUUCUCCUCUUUACAUCUUCGUCAUCUAUCUCAGUGUUUGAGGAUUAUCCAUCCAAACGCGUCGUCAGAUCUUCAUUCAACAUAUCCAAUUCCCGUACCUAAGACUUACGUCAGGCAAUUUGGUUGUCACGCUCCUCCAACAUCUUCUGCCAUUCUUUUGUCGAUUUCAAAGGUAUCUCUGAAGGUGUUAUCGCUGAAACUGGCAUAUUGGUCCACACUAAAUUAUUGGCCUCCUUCGCUAAUGCAGCUAGUUUAGUCUGCAACAUCGCAACCUCUACUUGCAACCGUUCUUGUCGUUUCUUCCAAUCGGUCUCUAUCGUUACUAUCUCACAUACCAUGUUUGUCAUCUUCUCCUUAAUCACGAAAGAAAA